CCUACGGGUGGCAGCAGUGAGGAAUAUUGGUCAAUGGACGAGAGUCUGAACCAGCCAAGUAGCGUGAAGGAUGACUGCCCUAUGGGUUGUAAACUUCUUUUAUAUGGGAAUAAAACAGGGUAUGCAUACCCUCUUGUAUGUACCAUAUGAAUAAGGAUCGGCUAACUCCGUGCCAGCAGCCGCGGUAAUACGGAGGAUCCGAGCGUUAUCCGGAUUUCUUGGGUUUAAAGGGCGCGUAGGUGGAUUAUUAAGUCAGUUGUGAAAGUUUGCGGCUCAACCGUAAAAUUGCAGUUGAAACUGGUAGUCUUGAGUACAGUAGAGGUAGGCGGAAUUCGUGGUGUAGCGGUUAAAUGCUUAGAUAUCAAGAAGAACUCCGAUUGCGAAGGCGGCUCACUGGACUACAACUGACACUGAUGCUCGAAAGUGUGGGGAGCAAACAGGAUUAGAUACCCCUGUAGUC
rnacentral:rRNA from 1 species